UACGAAGGGGGCUAGCGUUGUUCGGAAUUAUUGGGCGUAAAGAGCUCGUAGGCGGCUUGUCGCGUCUGCUGUGAAAUCCCGAGGCUCAACCUCGGGCCUGCAGUGGGUACGGGCAGACUGGAGUGCGGUAGGGGAGAAUGGAAUUCCUGGUGUAGCGGUGGAAUGCGCAGAUAUCAGGAGGAACACCGAUGGCGAAGGCAGUUCUCUGGGCCGUAACUGACGCUGAGGAGCGAAAGCGUGGGGAGCGAACAGG
rnacentral:rRNA from 1 species